rnacentral:lncRNA from 1 species
UAAUUACAAGAUCAUAUAAAGCUACAGACUUCUAAGCCUUUAGGGCUUUGCUCCUAUUUUCUUCUCUUACUGCCCACAUUCCCCAGUCAACCUGGUUAAUGGGUAGUUAAUAGGCAUCAAAUAGGUUAAUGCCCAAGGCCUCACAAUUUUUCUUUUCUGCUAACUGUGCUCCCCUGGUUGGGAGCUCUGCUUUGAGAAAUCUUCCUUCCUGCCUGUGCUCCUCGGAUCCCGUCACAACUCUGAUGCUGUUGUGCUGUCAUCUCCAACUUUAGGUGUCUACAUCCUCCUGAGGAUGCUGAGCUGUCUUGAGGACCCUUCUUUUGUCUUUCUGUUUUCCACUAUAUCCUGAGUUUGUUUUUAGCACCAUAGUGUACGUAACCGACUUACCAGAAAUAACUGUUAAAUAAGUGAUUUUUAUAUAGCCCAAGAAUCAUACGAGUGGAUGACGAUUUAAAAAGAAACAGUGAUCCAGCCACCAAUGAUGUGAAUGUUAGUGAAGCAAAAUGGCCUUUGGUGUUAUGAGAGUUUUAAUAGCCCUCCCCCGACUUUGGUUGACCCUUACUCCUGGCGUCAUAAAUCCGUUACAAAAACUGUUCUGCCUACAGAUAACCACCUUUGAACUCUUCUCUUUGGGGCUGAGAAGCCGCCUGGGUUGUAAGAACGAAUGUAUGGCUCCAGAAAGGCUGGUAAGAUAUAAUUUGGAGCUUGAAAAGAAAGGGACAGCCUUCAGAACAGUGUAUUCCUUUAUUUGUAUAAGAAAAUGCACAUUUGAAUUAAGGCAUUGGAGGUCCAAGCCAGAGAAGGUCAGUGAAGAAGAAAUGCAUAGGUGAAUAUGACCUCUAUCCUCAUUCGUAUCUCCACUUGGGUGUUUCAAUUUUACAAAUCCCAAACUUAGCUUCUGAUAGCCACCCCCAAUCUGUUCAAUUUCCUGUCUUCUCUGUCCCAGUAAAUGGCAAUGUCAUCCUUUCCGUUCUCAGCUCCCAAACUUUAGAGUUGCUUUUGGCUCCCCUCUUUCUCACUCCACACCUGAUCUACAAGCAAAAGCUGUUGCCUCUACCUUUAAAACAUAUUCAGAAUCUAGCCACUUCUCGCCUGUCCCUUGGUACACCCCAGUCUGACUAUUGUCUUUGCAUAAGUUGGGACAGAAGUUUUCUAACAGAUUUCUCUGUUUCAACCUUUGUCUUCACUUCAAUCUAAUCUCAGCAUAGUAAGCAUAGUGAGACU